AACUGUUUAUAUGCAUUUGCUUAGGCUUGGAGCAUAACUCAUAAAUCAGUUACCUGUUUUGCAUAUCCUAUGAAUUUGAGCCUUAUCUGUUUGCUAUUUCUCCAUCUCAAAUCUCCAUCAGUAAGCUAAAAAAAGACUAGCUAGCUAAUCCUCUGUAAUUAGCUUGCUUCCCCCAUCUCACGCUGAAACCCUAGCUCUUCCCUUGGUGACGGAGAGGCUCACAUCAUGGAUCCUCUCCUCGAAGACAUCAACGGCCAAGGAAGGAGAAGCUGCUGCAUAGGUGCCAUCCUGUAGCCAUGGACGGCACUCAUAGCAUGUGCGAAGUCUGCUCCUUCCCCGCAUGGCUAGUUAGCACUUCUCCCGCCCA